AACGAACGCUGGCGGCAGGCCUAACACAUGCAAGUCGAACGCCCUAGCAAUAGGGAGUGGCAGACGGGUGAGUAACACGUGGGAACCUUCCCUAUAGUACGGAAUAGCCCAGGGAAACUUGGAGUAAUACCGUAUACGCCCGAGAGGGGAAAGAUUUAUCGCUAUAGGAUGGGCCCGCGUCGGAUUAGCUAGUUGGUGAGGUAAUGGCUCACCAAGGCAACGAUCCGUAGCUGGUUUGAGAGAAUGACCAGCCACACUGGGACUGAGACACGGCCCAGACUCCUACGGGAGGCAGCAGUGGGGAAUCUUGGUCAAUGGGCGCAAGCCUGAUCCAGCCACGCCGCGUGAGUGAUGAAGGCCUUAGGGUUGUAAAGCUCUUUUGUCGGGGACGAUAAUGACGGUACCCGAAGAAUAAGUCCCGGCUAACUUCGUGCCAGCCGCCGCGGUAACAC
rnacentral:rRNA from 1 species